rnacentral:rRNA from 1 species
CAGCUUGCUGGGUUGGAUGAGUGGCGAACGGGUGAGUAACACGUGAGUAACCUGCCCCCUUCUUUGGGAUAACGGUCGGAAACGGCUGCUAAUACCGGGUAUUCACUGUCCUUCGCAUGGGGGGUGGUGGAAAGGUUUUUUCUGGUGGGGGAUGGGCUCGCGGCCUAUCAGCUUGUUGGUGGGGUGAUGGCUUACCAAGGCUUUGACGGGUAACCGGCCUGAGAGGGUGACCGGUCACAUUGGGACUGAGAUACGGCCCAGACUCCUACGGGAGGCAGCAGUGGGGAAUAUUGCACAAUGGGCGAAAGCCUGAUGCAGCGACGCCGCGUGAGGGAUGACGGCCUUCGGGUUGUAAACCUCUUUCGCUCAUGGUCAAGCCGCAACAGUGGUUGUGGUGAGGGUAGUGGGUAAAGAAGCACCGGCUAACUACGUGCCAGCAGCCGCGGUAAUACGUAGGGUGCGAGCGUUGUCCGGAAUUAUUGGGCGUAAAGGGCUUGUAGGCGGUUUGUCGCGUCUGCC